rnacentral:sRNA from 2 species
UGGUCAAUGCUGGUGCCAUUGUUGUCAGCUCCCUGAUCAAGAUGGACUGUAACAAAGCAGAGAAGUUUGAUUUUGUGUUGCAGUAUCUCAACAAAAUGGCUGGGAAUGAAUACAUGGGUUUCAGCAAUGCCACAUUCCAGUCAGAGAAGGAAACAGGGGAUCGGAAUUAUGCCAUCGGCUAUUAUCUCAAGGAAAAGAAGUGCUUUCCUAAGGGGGUGGACAUGAUGGCUGCCCUUGAUCUCUACUUCCAGCUGUGCUCUGUGGAGGUCACUUGUGAAUCAGGCAGUGUCAUGGCAGCCACCCUCGCCAAUGGUGGGAUCUGCCCCAUCACAGGCGAGAGUGUGCUGAGUGCUGAAGCAGUGCGCAACACCCUCAGCCUCAUGCAUUCCUGCGGCAUGUAUGACUUCUCUGGCCAGUUUGCCUUCCACGUGAGUUUCUGGCUCUGCUAUCCAUCUGUCAUGAGCCCAGUGCUAAGAAGAGAGAACACUGACUCUCUCAAGAUAGAGGUGGAAGCUUGUUCCUGCCUCUCAUUCACUAACUUCCAGGAAGGCAAUUAGGUUGAGACU